rnacentral:rRNA from 1 species
CGUACACUCCUGCGGGAGGCAGCAGUGGGGAAUAUUGCACAAUGGGCGCAAGCCUGAUGCAGCCAUGCCGCGUGUAUGAAGAAGGCCUUCGGGUUGUAAAGUACUUUCAGCGGGGAGGAAGGCGAUAAGGUUAAUAACCUUGUCGAUUGACGUUACCCGCAGAAGAAGCACCGGCUAACUCCGUGCCAGCAGCCGCGGUAAUACGGAGGGUGCAAGCGUUAAUCGGAAUUACUGGGCGUAAAGCGCACGCAGGCGGUCUGUCAAGUCGGAUGUGAAAUCCCCGGGCUCAACCUGGGAACUGCAUUCGAAACUGGCAGGCUAGAGUCUUGUAGAGGGGGGUAGAAUUCCAGGUGUAGCGGUGAAAUGCGUAGAGAUCUGGAGGAAUACCGGUGGCGAAGGCGGCCCCCUGGACAAAGACUGACGCUCAGGUGCGAAAGCGUGGGGAGCAAACAGGAUUAGAAACCCCAGUAGUCCC